rnacentral:lncRNA from 1 species
AAAAGCUCCCUACUUGCAUAAACACCUUUAGGCCUUUACCUUGAUAAACACACGAUUAUAGUAGCAACCUGUAGUGAAAAACUAAUCGAAAAGCCUAAGGAGAGCAAUAAUGAGGUUAAAGAAAUUUUAGAUGAGAAAAGAAUAGAGACCCUAAAAACUAUCUGCACCAAUCUGCCUCUAUCCAAGGUCCCGCACAAAAAUAGAAUGCUAAAGGACCAUAAAACGAACAAAA